AUCUCCCACCUCCCAGCAAACAAGCUCUUUUGGCUCAGCUCCCGCCUGCGUUUGUAGACCCCGAAGUUUCUGCAACCAAGCUCUUCAGACCCACAUCCCUUCUCCCAGUGACUGAACAGUCCCAGCUCCGGCUGGAGAAGGGCGUCUGCAGACCCCGCUGUUGCCUCCCAGGGGAGUCUCCAGGCCCCUGGGAGGCAAGGGCGGGGCCUGCAGAGGCUGUUCUCCAACCAGUGCUAGAACUGUACAGGCCACCAGGAGGCAGGAGGUGGGCCCUCAGAGCUUGGCUGGAGAAAGUUCGGGGCCUACAAAGGCGGUUGGGAGCUGGGCAGGAGUUGAGCCAAAAGAGCUUGCUUACUUGCUGGGAGGCAGGGCCGGGAGAGC
rnacentral:lncRNA from 1 species